AAACAACUAACAUAAAUUGGAUUUUUUACAGUACAUAUCAUUCAAUCGAUUUUGUCAAUUGCUAAUUAACACAAACUAACACAUCACAUUCAUACUAACUGAUUUGUGAAUUUCUAACUAACUAAUGGAAUUUCAUGUGCAUUUGAGAUGAAUUUUAGUUUACAUUUCUAACAGAAUUUGAGAACUGGAAGUCUAUAAAUACCAAUUCAAUCAUUUCACCAAUCAUGAAUCAUAAAAUCACAAGCUCUCGAAUCUCACUCCAAUUUUCAGAAGCUCACUCUCUUCAACUCUCACAUUCCCUCAUCAAUCCCUCAAGCUCUCUACCAUCCUCUUUCUCUCAUGAAAUAACAAAGGUUGCAAGAAGAAGACGGAGGAAAUCAAAGCAGUUGCAGAAGGAAAAAAGAAAGAAUUCGCUACUUGUUAUCACCGGAGAGCCACUGCAUCGGUAAGUUACUCUUCUAUCUCUUUCUUCAAUCAUCCGUGAAUUUCUUGAGCGCAAUCCACGAUUUUAUCCAUGUUUUCUUCUCAAGUUACAGUGUCGAUACAAGUUGAUUACGACUCGAUUUCGGUGUUGGAUUUUGCAAUUUCCAAUUCGUUGAAGAUGAUCUUGAAAUCAAGUUGAAUAAGGUUUUGGUGAUGGUGAUUAAGUUUUGGUUUCAGAUUCAAUUUGGAUCAUGUUUUUCGCAUGAGCAUUGGAG
rnacentral:lncRNA from 1 species